AUACUUACCUGGUGCUGGGAAGUCUAUGAUCAAUGAGGUAGACUCCCCGGGGCGAGACCUUGUCAUUGCACUGCGACUUGGUUGACCCCCGCCACUUCCCCAAACUGGGGUAGAUGGAGCAUGCAAUUUUUGGUAGUGGGGGCUUGCGUACGCGCUCGCCCCCU